rnacentral:pre_miRNA from 1 species
AGGAGCUCUUCUUCAGUCCAGUCCGGGGCRGUUUAAGGGCUGACACUCAGCUGCUGACUCGUUGGUUCAAGAACUCAUCGUACAAAUGCUAAAAGAAGUGGUGUGUUUCUGAUCCAACGAAGCAGGAGCUGAGAGGUUGGUUAUUGCAGUCGCGUCUUGGACUGAAGGGAGCUCCU